UACAGAGGUCUCGAGCGUUAGGCGGAAUCACUGGGCUUAAAGCGUGUGUAGGUGGAUGCCUAAGUACCUUGUGAAAUCCCACAGCUUAACUGUGGAACUGCUUGGUAUACUGGGUGUCUUGAGUCACUCAGGGGCGAGCGGAACAAAUGGUGGAGCGGUGAAAUGCGUAGAUAUCAUUUGGAACGCCAAUGGCGAAAACAGCUCGCUGGGGGUGUACUGACACUGAGACACGAAAGCCAGGGGAGCGAACGGG
rnacentral:rRNA from 1 species